UGAACUAAAGUAAAUUGCCAAGAAAGACAGAAAAAAGCCCAGAGAGAUGAAUGUUGAUGAUGGGCUUGAUGGAGGGUAUGGCACUUGGCAAACCAGCUUCAGAAGGGCUUUGUGUCUAAGCAAAGCCAAGCUGUGACGAAGCACUUCACACAUCAAGUGCACAGGCCAGAUGAUCAUUAUGGGUGUCGUCUUGAUGAUCGUGGUGAGAUGAUGAUCUUGGAAAGAAGGGUUAUUUGCAAGUGGCGGUCUGUUGCGGUGGCUGGGCCAGGACUGUGGCUGGGGGGAACCUACUGCCCAGUGAACAUCAAGAAGUUAGAAAGGAUGAUUUUCCAGGGCCUGAGAGGGGACACAGUUUCUCUUUGGUGCAUCCCAACAGUGGAAGACGGGCCUUGUGAUGGCAGAUGCUUUCAUCGCAGUGGAUAUGACCACCAUGAAAUCCAGAGAGGGGUUUCAAGAAACUUAAAAGGCAUCAAGAAAA